AGUGAACGCUGGCGGUAGGCCUAACACAUGCAAGUCGAACGGCAGCACAGUAAGAGCUUGCUCUUACGGGUGGCGAGUGGCGGACGGGUGAGGAAUACAUCGGAAUCUACUUUUUCGUGGGGGAUAACGUAGGGAAACUUACGCUAAUACCGCAUACGACCUACGGGUGAAAGCAGGGGAUCUUCGGACCUUGCGCGAUUGAAUGAGCCGAUGUCGGAUUAGCUAGUUGGCGGGGUAAAGGCCCACCAAGGCGACGAUCCGUAGCUGGUCUGAGAGGAUGAUCAGCCACACUGGAAUUGAGACACGGUCCAGACUCCUACGGGAGGCAGCAGUGGGGAAUAUUGGACAAUGGGCGCAAGCCUGAUCCAGCCAUACCGCGUGGGUGAAGAAGGCCUUCGGGUUGUAAAGCCCUUUUGUUGGGAAAGAAAAGCAGCAGGUUAAAACCCCGCUGUUCUGACGGUACCCAAAGAAUAAGCACCGGCUAACUUCGUG
rnacentral:rRNA from 1 species